AUAGGGCUAGUAUAUUCGGUGUAUGGAAGGACUGUAAGGUGUACAUGUCCAACUGGCAGGUGUCAUCUGACCUUGACCUCAUUUUCAUGGUUCAGUGGUUAUAGUUAAAUUUUGUUGUUUUUGUCUGUUUUUCAUACUAUAUGCAAUAGGUCUACUAUAUUUGUUGUAUGGAAUGAUUGUAAGGUGUACAUGUCUAGAGGGAAGAUGUCAUGUGACCUUGACCUCAUUUUCAUGGUUCAGUGGUCAAAGUUAAGUUUUUGAGUUUUGGUCUUUUUAUCUAAUACUAUAUGCCAUAGGUCAACUAUAUUUGGUGUAUGGAAAUAUUUUAUGAUCUUUAUGUCAGUUGCGCAGG
rnacentral:lncRNA from 1 species